CUCUGUCUUCUCGCGGUGGUCUUUAGCAGGCGUUGCGGGUCUUGUGCUGGUGGUUACCUAGGGCCGCAGAGCCGGCGUCCGAGUCAGCUGGUAGCAGUUUAAAAGAUUAAAGAGAGAAGAAGACGCGUAGUAUUGAAGACUUGGUUAACCCACUGAGAUAGUCGAUAGCAUAGGUUUCCCUUUAGCUCAGGAACUUUCCUACGAGUUUUUCUUAUUUUUCUUACUUUUCCCUCAUAAAGGAAUGCUGUAUUUGACUUAACAGUAUAUUGUAAGAUUUGAGAUAUUGUAAUUCCCUCCUAUUACUCCAGGGCUGGGAAAGGAGUUGUUGGUUGGGAGGCGGUGGGGAAGAGGAAAGGCAGAGGAUGAGCAGAAAGAAAGCAUGAGGAAGGAUUUGCUCUACCUCAGAAACAUCCUGCUGCUUAAUCUCUUUCAAGCCCAUUGCGUGUAGUAUAAAGUUUUGAGGUUCCUGGUUAAAAAUCAACAAAAUAAAGUUGAUCUGGAAAGGAAUUUCCCUGCCUUGUAGCUCUAAGUGUGGCUAAAGACAGCGUUACUACUGUACUCCGCAGCCAUUUACCUGGAAAAUGCAAGAGAGGGGCAUAAGGGACCAUGGCUUUGCAGUUCUCAGAAAAGCCUUGUCUAUCAAGCAGUUUUCCUGUGGGAAAAUAAGGUAAGUGGUAGAUGCUGACGGUUUCCCGGAAAAGAAAACUUAUGGCAAGAAGUUGAACAUAGGUCGUAUUUAUGUGGUUUUUGAUCUGUAAUCUCCUGUAUCUGCUACUAGAGGAUGUAGAAGAGGUCCAUUUUUUUUUUUUUGACGUAAAUGAACUUUGAAAUUUAUCUGUAAUAUCUUUUUGUUAGAGAAAUGGGUGGAAGAGCACUUAUCAUUUUAAUAUUAGUCUAGACCUAACUUUUGAUACCAGUAAAGGAUCAAAGAAUCAGAAAAGCAAAUACCUUUUUCUAUUUACCAAAGAAAAUACAUAAAAUAACUGAUUUAUGUAGAAAAUAACCCAAAGAAAACCACUGAGAACUGUUUUUAAAAUAACAUUUUUUGCCUACAGCAAGUCAUUAACAGCUGCUUUUAAUAAAAAUGAGUGGGAAAAUUGGAUUCGAUGCUACUCCACUGCUGAAUUGUUUUUUCUUUGCCUCCUUGGAACAGUGUUUCUCCCCCAUACAUCCCAAAUGCAACCCCCACGUGUGUGGGGGAGAGAUAUUGUGGUAUGUCUGUAUAACUUUCAGGGUACAGGAUAGAUGUACAGCUUUUUAGGAUUGGGAGGGAAUGAAGGCUCAGAUAAUAUGCUUUGAGCGCCUUGAUUAAUCAACAGGCAACCUGUGGCUUUUUAUUUAUUUAUUUAUUUAUUUUUGCCUUUUCUAGGGCGGCUUCCGCAGCAUAUGGAGGUUCCCAGGCUAGGGGUCUAAUUGGAGCUGUAGGCCCCAGCCUAUGCCAGAGCCAUAGCAACGCGGGAUCCGAGCCUCAUCUGUGACCUACACCACAGUUCACGGCAACGCCAGAUCCUUAACCCACUGAGCAAGGCCAGGGAUCGAACCCGAAACCUCAUGGUUCAUAGUCGGAUUCGUUAACCACUGCGCCACUACAGGAACUCCCAACCCGUGGCUUUUUAGAAGACUCUCAAAACAAUGUCACACUUUACAGGUAAAUUGAUUUCAACCAGGGUGAUGUUCACUUGAAGGCAUGCUGCCAUAUAUUUUGACAUUUUCAGAAAGUUAUAUAUAACACUCAGGAUGAAAUAGUCAUAAACAUUGUUUUUGCUGAUGAGAACCCCUCUAGCAACAUGUAUUGUGCUUGGGGUGGGGGGGUAAAAAAACACCUCCCCCAGAACCUAGCCGUUUCCUCUCCAUGUACAAUACUGAUGCAGCCUGACUUGAAAAUUGUAUGAAGAAUUAUUUUUCUCCUUAAUUGUGUGAAGAAGAAAAAAGAGAUUAAAAUAUAAAAUGUCCCCUGGUAACUAGCACAGAAAGAGUGAAAGAAACAAAAGAAAAACCAACUGUUCAACACUGCAUGCUUUCUCACAGGAAAAAAAGAUGGGAAAGAACACCGAAAUGUCAUUUCAUUUUCAUAAGGCCUAGGAAUUAUUUUUGCUGAAUUUUUGUUUACCCACAAUUGUUUAACACUUCAAGAAGUCUUUUGCUUAUUGGAAGUAGUUUCCUUUACUUGUAUGAGAAUAUGCACUCAAAUCCUCUUCCAACUAUCUCAGCCACCUAGAAGCUCUAGCAUAUAUUUCUGUUAGUAUUUUUGCAGGACUGUGUCAUGGGUUGACUAAAGAAGUUAAAUAAAGAGAAUGGGGUGUUGAGGCACGUUUAUACUUCCUUUUAAAAAUCUUAAAGAUUUAUCCCUGGUCCUGUGUGUUGACCACUAUUAAUAGCUAGGCUUCUGGAGUUCCCGUUGUGGCGCAGUGGAAAUGAAUCCGAUUGGUAUCCAUGAAGAUGCGGGUUUGAUCCCUGGCCUCUCUCAGUGGGUCCAGGAUCUGGGGCUGCCAUGAGCUGUGGUGUAGGUCACAGAUGCGGCUUGGAUCCCACAUUGCUGUGGCUACGAUGUAGGCCGGCAGCUGCAGCUCUGAUUAGACCCCUAGCUUGAAAACUUCCAUUUGCCAUGGGUGCAGCCCUAAAAAAAAUAGACAAAGUCGGGCUUCUGACUUUUAACUUUUGUCUCUCAUAAACCAUCUGUGAAAUGAAAGGAGGUAAUUUUUAAUGCCCAUAAGACAUUUCUGUGAAUGUCUCUGAAAACCAAAGAGCACCCAAUCAAAGGAGGUUUUUUUUUUAAGCUAAAUGGGAUUUCACUGAAAGAUGCUGAGCAAGGCUGGGGAUACAAAGGAGACAGGUUCAAAGAUAAAGGAAGGCUCUCUAGCUGCAUCUCCAAAUAUAAGUCCUCCAAGAACACUAGACAGACCUGGAAAACAAAGCUGCUUUAGGUUCCACUCAUUUGGGUUGUUAAAAACUUAGAGAACCACUAACCGAAUAAAACUUUCUUAACCUGAUAGAAAGCAUCUACUAAAAACCUCGAAAGAAAAAGCUGUUUAAAUGUGAAGCACCAGAGGCAAAGCCUUUUAAAGUCAAGAACAGGAGAAGGCAUCCAUUCUUCAAAAUUGUGCUAGAGAUCAGAGCCAGUAUAAUACGACAGAAAAUUAGGAGUAUUGCAGAAGAAAAAAACUGUUGCAAGUAUAUGAUUAGGUAAAAAAAUCCAAGAGGCUCUCCAGACAAGCUAUUAAGACAAAUCAGCAAGUUUGCCAUAUGUAAGAUCCAAACUAAAGAAAAUUUACUUGGAAAAUAAAGCCUCAAAAACAAACCAUUUAUAGCACCCAGAAAUAAGUAUCAUGAUUAUGCAGAAAUUGUUAAACUUUACUGAAAGUCAUGGAAAAUCCAAAUAGGGAUAUAACAUUCUUUAAUGAGAAAAAUCAGUUAUCUUUACCUAAUCCAUAAACUCAGCACAGUUUCAACUAAAAUUCCAAGAGGGUUGGUACUGACACUCAUAUAGAAGAGUAAAUUCGAAGAAGUGUGAGGAAGGAAUCGUAUCAUAUAGUAAGUUCACUAGUAAAAGUAUAACUUGAAAUAAUGACAUCACAGAAAUAAAUAGUAAAUAGCCUGGAAACAAGUGAGUUUAUAUGGAAAUUCAAUGUAUGACAAAGUUGGUGUUAUCAUCCAGCGUGGGAAGUAUAUGCUGUUGAAGCUAUGAAUUAUCCAUAUGGAAACAAAAAUAUAUCUCUGAAUUCCACUACAUAAAUCCCAGAUAGAUUGAAGACAUAAAUGUGAAAUACUUGUAGAAUGGUUUGAGGGAAGCAAAAUAGAGUAUCUUUAACCUCAAUGUAGGGAAGCAUUUCUUGAAGGAAAUAAAGAACAAAUAAUAAAGAGAAAUUUAUCAAAAAUACAAUGAAGAAGAUAUUUGUGAUUCAUCUAAUGUAAAUGGAUUCGUCUCCAGGAUACACAAAGAUAAUAAAUAAUUGAAAGGCCUCUG
rnacentral:lncRNA from 1 species